AUACGUAUUUACCCUUCUCAAAACCUAUCUCGCUUCUCUGCUUCUCUAUUCUCAGUUUCUGCGAUGGUGAUGACGAAUCUUGAUUCUCUCUCGUCACUAUGCCUUCCAGAAAGAAGAUCUUCACUACAACUUAUCGGCUUGUGAUUUCGAUUCCAAAAAGAACAUCAUGACUACGACCUCCAUCAUUCACUGCGAAGCUCUGAAGGAUUAUGAGGCAUCCACCAUUGCUCAAGCUCUAAAGGUCAAUGAAUAUGUCACCAAGUUUGGACAUGUACAUAUGGUGCAAUGAAUCUUCAAAUAGAGAUACUGAAAUUUUGCAGUUCAAUUACUCUGUUAUUUCAAAGUGAAUGUUCUGUCUGUUUUAUGAGAGACUCAAAUUUUGCACUUUCGAUUAAUCUUACUCUGUUUUUCGAUUACUCUGCUUUGUGAACUAAACAAACUGGUACACACUGUCACCAAAUCCCGCUUAUCAACAAAAAGGAUAUAACUGUCA